GGGGUUCUAGCUCAUCGGUAGAGCGCUCGCUUAGCAUUCCUUGGGGUUGCGAGAGGCGCUGGGUUCGAUUCCCAGGUACUCCA
rnacentral:tRNA from 1 species